UGGGAAAGCUUUGAUCAUCCCACAGACACCUUGCUUCCAUAUCUAAAGAUAGGGUUUAAUAGAAAAACUAAUCAAAGCUGGUUCCUUCAAUCCUGGAAGACAGAUGAUGACCCUGGAAAAGGUGCGUUCACGGUGGAAUUCAGCACCAUUGGUAAACCUCAGUUGUUUAUGUACAACCAUAACCUUCCAUGGUGGCGUGCUGGACAUUGGAAUGGAGAACUGUUUGCAGGUGUACCUAAUAUGAAACGAGAUAUGGAAACUUUUAACGUUUCUUUUGUGGAAGAUGAAAACUCCGUAGCAAUCUCAUAUAACAUGUUUGAUAAGUCUGUCAUCGCUAGGAAAGUUGUUAAUCAAUCUGGUUUCUUUCAAAUAUUCACGUGGGGGAAUGAAAAGAAUCAAUGGAACCGGUUCUAUUCAGAACCAACAGACCAAUGUGAUAACUAUGGAACAUGUGGAUCAAACAGUAAUUGUGACCCUUUUAACUUUGACGACUUUAAGUGCACUUGUUUACUUGGUUUUGAACCAAAAUUUCCACGUGAUUGGUAUGAGAGUAGAGAUGGGUCGGGAGGGUGUGUAAGGAAGAAAGGUGCAUCUAUUUGUGGGAAUGGAGAAGGGUUUAUAAAAGUUGUAAGUGUGAAAGUUGCUGAUAUAUCUGGAGCAGUUGCCAUAGAUGGUUUGAGUUUGGAAGAAUGUGAGAAAGAAUGCUUGAGAAAUUGCUCUUGUACUGCCUAUGCAGUUGCUGAUGUGAGGAAUGGUGGUAGUGGAUGUUUGGCAUGGCAUGGGGAUUUAAUGGACAUUCAAAAACUUAGUAGUGAUCAAGGCCAAGAUUUAUUUUUACGCGUCGAUAAAGUUGAACUAGGUAAGAUAUCCCCUCCUACUGUUUUUUUCUUCUAAAUUUGACAGCACUUAUGUAUAGUUUAAACUUAUUUGGACUUGUAUCUUUAUAUCAGCUAAUUACAACAAAAAAAGCAAAGGAGCACUUGACAAAAAGAGGUUGGCUGCAAUUCUGGUAGCUUCUAUUGUUGCAAUUGUCAUCCUCCUCUCCUGUGUAAAUUACAUGUGGAAGAAAAAAACAAAGGGUAUGCGAUUUUUUUUUUAACAAGCCAAAAUGAAUUAUAUUAAUAAUAAAAAGUGUUUCUCAUAACACAAGAUGUAAUUUGGCUCUGACUUAUAAAAUGUGUCAUAUCAAGUAAGAAAGAAAUACACCACAUAUUGACUCAUGUAUCAUAAUUCUAAAGCAUUAGCAUUACAAGUCUUGCUACUCUUACCUAAAUAGUACCAAGUAAUUUUUCCCUGUCACAAGCCACAUUCACAUAUGUUUUACAGCAACUGUUGAUAUUAACCAUUGUUUUCCAUUUCUAAAAUUAACAAACAAUGUUUUUGUGUUGCUAUGAUUGUACUGCUACAACCUUGAGAGUCACCACAACAACAAUUCACCACUGCCGCAGAGCAGCAACCCGCAUGUUCCUCCAUUACAAACUCACUUCAACAUCAGAAAAGCCUAAAUAUCAUUAAAAAUCAGCAGUUAGAGCCAAAAGGUUAUUUGCAAAACAGCCUCAAUUUAUGCCAAAUUCUUUUGUCAUUUGGAUAUAAUGUGUGUGCCAAUCCAGACUAAGUAUUUUAUUAGCAGUUCGAACCAAGUUUUGUUAAGUUUUGGUCUAUCAAUGUUAGACAAACAAUCACUCCAAAUUUCCUUAUCAACUGCUAAUAAUGUUUUAAUUGAAUAUUAUUAUUAGUAUUAUUGUUUCUAGGGUUAAUGGUGCUUUACCCCCUGUAAUAUAGGUCAUUUUUAGUUUUCCCCCUGUAAAAUUUUUUUUUUUUAUUUACCCCCCUGUAAAAUAUCUUUAUUUUUUUUUUGCAGAAUUUUUUCGUUUUUUUAUGACCUAUUAGGGAGGUAUUCCAAAAAAAAAAAAAUUUUACAGAGGUGUAAAUCAAAAAAUAUAUUUUACAGGGGAAAAACCAAAAAUGACCUAUAUUACAGGGGGUAAAGCACCAUUAACCCUUAUUUCUAUUAUUACUAUUGAGCUAUCAUUGUGCAAAACUAGCAAAAUGUAUAAUCUAAGAUUUUUUAUCUUACCUCAUGUCAUUUGUAACUUUAGAUAAAAUGAUGCGGCAAAUAAACCAUGACUCCUCAGUAGAAGAGAAUGGUGCUCCAAACAACAGACAUCCAAAUCUACCCUUUUUCAGCUUUAAAACGAUAAUGACAGCUACAAAAAAUUGUGAUCAUAAGAAUAAGCUUGGACAAGGUGGAUUUGGCUCUGUCUACAAGGUGAGUGAAACUCUACAUUAAGCUACUGAUGCAAGAAGUGACAACAUCAGUCACCUCUUUAUAUUCAUUUCAAUCACAUUAUUAAAAAAUGGUGCAAAAAUAAUGAAAUAUGAUUUAAGAGAUAAAUAUUUCAGGGUUGCUUGGUUAAUGGACAAGAGAUUGCAGUUAAAAGAUUGUCCAGAGAUUCUGGUCAAGGCAAAGUAGAGUUUAAAAAUGAAAUUACACUUUUAGUUAAACUCCAACACAGAAAUCUAGUGAGGUUGCUCGGUUGUUGCUUUGAAAAAGAAGAAAGGAUGUUAGUUUAUGAAUACCUACCAAACAAAAGCCUAGACUUCUUUAUAUUCGGUAUGUCUCUCUCUGACUCACUCAUUGUCUUUCUGACCUGAAUAAACUUGUAUGUAUACAAGCCUAAAGCGUAGUGACUUAAUGUAACAUGUAACGCUCGAGCUUAUGCUAAUUCUGGCUUAUAGAUACUUAAUGUAACCUAUUUCCUAAAAAAAACUCCUAAAUGCAACAAAUUCAAACUUCACAUAAUUGUAAACAAUUAACAUUAGUUAAAUUUUUUACAGGUCAAACCUAUUUCUAUUCUCUUAAAAAUAUCUAUUACAAAUUUAGGCCUUCAACAUUAAGCAGGACAUAUCAUCAAACUUCAUGCCUCUCACUAACACUAAGUUGACCAUUGUCCUACUUAUAGCCUUGUAUACAUGUUUUAAAAUAAUUACAAGAAAUUUGAAGAUGUGCCUAUACUCUUUGUCAGGCACAAGAUGAUUAAUGAUCCGACAUAUUAUCUAAUUUCCCAUACUCAUUGACAGUUUCCUAAACUCUAAUACUCAUUGAUAUUUUGAUAAGUUUCUAUAAAGUUAAGCUCGAUUUGCAGUUAACUUUUCUUAAUAUGUUCUAUAUUUGUAAACUUAAACUGUUCAACUCAGAUCAAAACCAAAGGUCAUCAUUGGAUUGGGUAAAGCGUUUUGAAAUCAUUUGUGGGAUUGCUCGAGGUGUUUUAUAUCUUCACCAAGAUUCAAGGCUGAAAAUAAUUCAUAGAGAUCUAAAAGCCAGCAAUGUUCUCCUUGACGCUGCAAUGAAUCCCAAAAUCUCAGAUUUUGGUAUGGCUAGAAUAUUUGGAGAAGAUGAAAUCCAAGCAAGAACAAAAAGAGUGGUCGGAACAUAGUAUGUGUCACACACUUAUAUCACGAAAAUAUACAGAUGGAUAUGUAUUUUUAUGAUACUCUAACCAUUUUGUUUAAUUGCAGUGGAUAUAUGUCACCAGAAUAUGCAAUGGAAGGACGAUAUUCAACAAAAUCUGAUGUCUUCAGUUAUGGGGUCUUACUACUGGAGAUUAUUGCUGGCAAGAGAAACACACAUUGUGAAAUUGGAAGAGACUCCCCAAAUUUAAUUGGACAUGUAAGUUACAUAUAAUAAAAAGAGUAGCCUUAAAAUUGGCCAACAAUCUAAUGAUGCAUGACAUGACAUAUUUAUUUAAAAAUUGUGUUGUGCAUUUAUAGGUGUGGACACUAUGGACAGAAGAAAGAGCCUUGGAUAUUGUUGAUCCAGCACUAAACCAGUCUUAUCCUCUUGAUAUAGUUCUGAGAUGCAUUCAAAUUGGACUUUUGUGUGUGCAAGAAAAUGCAAUUAAUAGACCAUCAAUGUUAGAAAUUGUUUUCAUGCUAUGCAAUGAAACACCUCUCUGCCCACCUCAAAAACCAGCAUUUUAUUCAAUGGCAACCAUGAAUUGCAAGAACCAUCAACAUCAGGAUCUUCAAUAAAUGAAGUAACAGAAACUACUAUCAGUGCUCGCUAAAAGAUACCUUAAUCAAAUAUGUAAAUUUUUGGUUUAUACUUUCACCUUGAAAUUUAGUUUGUAGACAUUUCUAGAGGUUCUUGAGAAACAAGUAAGUCACGUUAUGGUAUUGCAAAAGAGUGGUGAUAUUUGAACAACUAUUUGAUACAACUUUUGUGACAAUUUCUUUUUUUUCUCUUUUCAUUAGUUAAAAACAAUGGAGAGAGAAAAAGAAGAGAGAGAAUAAGAGUAUAAUGUGAGUNAACCCUAAUUUAAUGUCUUUAGUCAUUUUUUACAUAUUUUAAUUUUAUUUUGGGUUGUUUCAUUUAAUAAUAGGGUUUAAAACUACAUGUUCAUGAAAUUGUGCAUAAAAAAUAGCGAAAAAUAUGUAUUCAAUUUUUUAUUAUAUUAAAAUAGACCCAUAAUACAAUUUUUUGCGAAGUGUGUUAGAUUAUUAUUAUUUUUGCUAGAUUAUUAGAACUAAAAACAAUAUUGAGGGAGUAAAGUGUAGAUUUUAUUAUAAGAGGGGAGAGGAAUGUAAUUCAAGCUUGGGGAGGGGUGUGUAAAAUUUUCUGAUAUGUUUUGAAUAAGAGGGGAGGGGAUUGUGUAUUUUAUGAUAAGAGGGGAGGGGGGGUGUAAUUUACUCUUAUAAUUUUCACCUCUCAAGAAAAAAAGUUUAUAAUUUACAGUUAAUUUUCACCUUUUUUUUUUUUUUGAAGGAAGUUAAUUUUCACUUAACUCGGUUAAAGAAUACUCCCUCCGUUCCUUUUUAAGUGUCACUUUUGGAGAAAAUUUUUGUUCCUAUUUAAUUGUAAUUUUCAAAGUUCAAUGCAACAUUAAAUGUUGUUUUAACAAUAUUCUCUUUAGUUAUUUAUAGCGGAGAGAGAAAUAUAUGAAAUGAGAUAUUGAAUUAAUAAGGUCAUUAUAGUAAAAGUAUAGCUUAUUGCAUCAAAAGUAGUAUCAAAUGUUUAUUGUCUUGGUUUGUGUAAAAUGUCAAAAUGUGACAAUUAAAAAGUAAAAUGUCAAAAUAUGACAAUUAAAAAGGAACGGAGGUAGUAAUUAUUAACAAAAAAAUUAAUUGCAAAAAUACUCAUACCUUCUCAGUCGAGAUCCAAGCUGUGUUGUGUUUAGUGUUCCCUCCACUCUCUUUUUUGUUGGCGAAUCUUCAUUAGAAUUUCCAAUGUUCAAGUACGGGUUGCAACCAAGUGGAACACCAUGUUCUCUCGACACGACGCGUGCUGCAAGAUAGAGAAUACGCCGGCGACUGAUACUUCCCUCGCCGCACAUUUCCUUCACAAAGAACGAAGCACCGGUAAUCACAGCUUGACAGGUUAGUGUUUGUAGUUCGUUCAAUCGGCAAGGGUAUUAUGGUAAACUACAACUAUAUAACGGGACAAACGGUCAUUUCGGUAGCUAAAUGUGUAAGAAUAACCAAAAUAGUCUCAUUCAAAUAGUCCUUCAAUACUCACAUUAACUCUUUAUAUAGGACCUAUAAAGCACGGACACUCCUUACCUUAGACGUGUCCCGGUGUAGGACAUGUGUCGUGUACUCGUGUUCGACACCGACACCUAUAAUUACACUAAAUUAUGUGACUUUUUCAAUUAUUAAUGGUGUCGGCGUGUCUGGAUCCGUGUUUGUAUCCGUACUUUAUAGUAUAGGACUGAAAUGACAAUGAGUAAGUAGUUUUACGGACCGAUAAAACAAUAAGUAAGUAUAUUGAAGGACUAAUAUGACAAUAUUAACCAGUUAUUUUAAUCUCAAGACUAUUUUGACUAAGGAAGUGUGCAAUUUAAGAUUAUAUUAAAAUUUUGAUACGUUGAGAGACUACUAUGGCUACUUGUUACAUAUUCGGGGAUUGGUCGCUUGUAGUGCUAAUCAUGAUAAACAAUUAUAGCAAAAUAUAAAUGAAAGUUAGUUUGUUUUAGUAUAUGUUAUAAGCUGUUUUAUUAAGCUAUGGUUGAAAACUUAUAAAAGUAAGACUAAAAAAGCUUAUGAAAUAUAGACCCUGCUCGAUUACCGAUUUCAUUUUGCUAUCCGUUUUGGUAAGGCCUUGAAUUUGCCAGGAAAUUUACCAUCGCUUAUACAUGUCACUGUAACGACGGACCAUGAGUCCAUGACCCAUUGAGGUACGUAGCUAACUGCCAAGCUCAACUUGCAUGCAUAAAAAGCAUCCUUUAUUAGAUACUUACGGGUCAAUCUUUGUGUCUGUGUAGUCAAAUACUGCUCACUUGCAUGCAUAAAAAGCGUCCUUGUUUAUGCUUCUUAAUUAGCAUGUACUAUUUGGAAAUCAAAAUUACCAACGUGAAAACCCAUGUUUGAUCAGAAACCAUAUAAUUAUUUACCUUCUUAUGAACACAUGUUUAUUGUCUUACCACCGUGUUCUCAAACACACAAUUAAUCAUGUUGAGUUGUAUUCAAUUUAAAUGAGAAUCAUCGACCCAAUAAUUUUUUCAUAAUGAGGCCUAAAAAAAUUAUAAUAUAUCAUAUAUUUUUUUGUCUACAGCCCUUUUAUUUAUAAACUAUAAUAAAAAUUAUUAAUCUUUUGUUGAUAGACCUAAAACGAGGAUUUUAGUUUCCUAUCUACUUACCUGUGGUUACUUUUCUUCAUUGAUUUUAUUUUCCCACUUUCUCAUGUGUCAGUGUCACUGACCCAUUGUGUGGAAAAUAUAACAAAGCAUCAUCAUGUCCUGUUGAGCAGGGGUACAAUUUUGUUUCAGUUAGAAUAGUUCAAUUAUCUCUUCAUGAAAUGCAAGAGGGGUAUGAUAGAAAAACUCAAUGGACUCUGCUAAAAAUCUUCUCUACCUUAGCACAGUCGAAAAUCAUAAAAACAAAUUGUUAGUGUUAGAUUACUCUUUGAUUCUACUAUGUCUCACCUUAUCUUUUUGCCCUUGUUCUUCUGAUACCAUAACUAUUCACAAACCCAUAAGAGAUGGUGAACUUCUCAUUUCUAAAUCUAAAACAUUUGCUCUUGGAUUCUUCACUCCAGGAAAGUCCACCUCUCGCUAUGUUGGAAUCUGGUACAACAAUUUGCCGAUCCAAACUGUUGUUUGGGUUGCAAAUAGAGAUGCUCCCAUCAAUGACACUUCUGGAAUUCUAUCAAUCAACCAAAAUGGGAAUCUAGAACUCCACCACAACCUUAGCACCAUUCCCAUUUGGUCUACCAAUGUUUCAUUAACACAGUCACAAAGAAAUAACACCAAUGUUAUAGCUCAACUAUUGGAUAUAGGAAACCUUGUUCUGAGGUUAAACGACACCGAAACUGCCAUCUGGGAAAGCUUUGAUCAUCCCACAGACACAAUGCUUCCGUAUCAAAAGAUUGGUUUUGAUAGAAAAAUUAAUCAAAGUUGGGUCCUUCAAUCCUGGAAGACAGAUGAUGACCCUGGAAAAGGUGCGUUCACGGUGAAAUUCAGCACCAUUGGCAAACCACAAUUGUUUAUGUACAACCAUGAUCGUCCUUGGUGGCGUGGUGGACAUUGGAAUGGAGCAAUAUUAGUAGGCCUACCUCAUAUGAUAGGAGAUAUGGCAGUUCGUAAUGUUUCUUGGGUUGAAGAUGACAACUAUGUAUCACUCUCAUAUAACAUGUUUAAUAAGUCUGUCAUUACAAGGAUAGUGGUUCAGCAAUCUGGUUUCUUUCAAACAUUCAUGUGGGACAGUCAAGAGAGUCAAUGGAGCCGGUACUGGUCUGAACCAACAGACCAAUGUGCUAACUACGGAACAUGUGGACCAAACAGUAAUUGUGACCCUUUGAACUUUGAGAGCUUUAAGUGUACUUGUUUACUUGGUUUUGAACCAAAAUUUCCACGUGAUUGGUAUGAGAGUAGAGAUGGGUUGGGAGGAUGUGUAAGAAAAAGAGGUGCAUCUGUUUGUGGGAAUGGAGAAGGGUUUAACAAAGUUUUAAGGGUGAAAGUUCCUGAUAUAUCUGGGGCAGUUGCCAUAGAUGGUUUGACUUUGGAAGAAUGUGAGAAAGAUUGCUUGAGAAACUGUUCUUGUAAUGCCUAUGCAGUUGCUGAUGUGAGGAAUGGUGGUAGUGGAUGUUUGACGUGGCAUGGGAAUUUAAUGGACAUUCAAAAACUUAGUAAUCAGGGCCAAGAUUUAUUUUUGCGCGUCGAGAAAGUUGAACUUGGUAAGAUAUUCCCUCCUACUGUUUUUUUUUUUUUUUGUUUAUAAAUUUGACACCACUUUUAAGUGUAGUUUAAACUUCUUUGGACUUGUUUUUUCUUAUCAGCUAAUUACAACAAAAAAAGCAAAGGAGUCCUUGAUAAAAAGAGGUUAGCUGCAAUUCUUGUAGCUUCUAUAGUUGCAAUUGUCAUCCUCCUCUUCUGUGUGAAUUACAUGUGGAAGAAAAAGAGAAAGGGNCCAAGAUUCAAGGCUGAAAAUAAUUCAUAGAGAUCUAAAAGCCAGCAAUGUUCUCCUUGACGCUGCAAUGAAUCCCAAAAUCUCAGAUUUUGGUAUGGCUAGAAUAUUUGGAGAAGAUGAAAUCCAAGCAAGAACAAAAAGAGUGGUCGGAACAUAGUAUGUGUCACACACUUAUAUCACGAAAAUAUACAGAUGGAUAUGUAUUUUUAUGAUACUCUAACCAUUUUGUUUAAUUGCAGUGGAUAUAUGUCACCAGAAUAUGCAAUGGAAGGACGAUAUUCAACAAAAUCUGAUGUCUUCAGUUAUGGGGUCUUACUACUGGAGAUUAUUGCUGGCAAGAGAAACACACAUUGUGAAAUUGGAAGAGACUCCCCAAAUUUAAUUGGACAUGUAAGUUACAUAUAAUAAAAAGAGUAGCCUUAAAAUUGGCCAACAAUCUAAUGAUGCAUGACAUGACAUAUUUAUUUAAAAAUUGUGUUGUGCAUUUAUAGGUGUGGACACUAUGGACAGAAGAAAGAGCCUUGGAUAUUGUUGAUCCAGCACUAAACCAGUCUUAUCCUCUUGAUAUAGUUCUGAGAUGCAUUCAAAUUGGACUUUUGUGUGUGCAAGAAAAUGCAAUUAAUAGACCAUCAAUGUUAGAAAUUGUUUUCAUGCUAUGCAAUGAAACACCUCUCUGCCCACCUCAAAAACCAGCAUUUUAUUCAAUGGCAACCAUGAAUUGCAAGAACCAUCAACAUCAGGAUCUUCAAUAAAUGAAGUAACAGAAACUACUAUCAGUGCUCGCUAAAAGAUACCUUAAUCAAAUAUGUAAAUUUUUGGUUUAUACUUUCACCUUGAAAUUUAGUUUGUAGACAUUUCUAGAGGUUCUUGAGAAACAAGUAAGUCACGUUAUGGUAUUGCAAAAGAGUGGUGAUAUUUGAACAACUAUUUGAUACAACUUUUGUGACAAUUUCUUUUUUUUCUCUUUUCAUUAGUUAAAAACAAUGGAGAGAGAAAAAGAAGAGAGAGAAUAAGAGUAUAAUGUGAGUAUGAGAGAGAAAAUUAUCAUAAAGUGGUUGUAUAAAUAUCAUUUCUCACUGUAAAAUGAAUAAUUUGAGUAUGUCUCCAUUUCAAUAAGCUUAUCGGUUAGAAGUAAUAUACAGAAAUAUAGCUGUUCAAUAGUAGUAGAGAUAGGUACAACAACUAGCGUAAACAAACGAUCGUGUUUCAUUGUCUUGGGAAAUUCUAAAGGUAAUUAAUUACUCAUAGUGAAUCCACUUAAAAAAAUCAAAUGGUUCAAUCGUUGUCAUUCAAUAUUAAAAACUAAUUAAUAAAUACUUCUAUUGCAAAUAUAGUCAUUAUAAAAAAAAACAAACUAAAAAUUAUAUGGCUUAAUUGCACUUUUUGCACCCUAUCUUUUCAAAAGUUGCGAUUUUGGCCCUCUAACUAAUUAAAAUACAAAACAGCCCCCUAUUUAUUGAAUCUUUGGCAGUUUUGGCCCCCAAAGUCACUUUUAACUUAGUCUGCGCUGACGUGGCACCCAUAUCCCUUAAGUGAGGUGCCACGUGUCGACCAUUGUGGGUGCCACGUCAGCGAAGACUAAGUCAAACGUGGUCUUGGAGACCAAAACUGCAAAAGAUUCAAUACAUAUGGGUUGUUUUGUAUUUUAAUUAGUUAGGGGUGAAAAUCGCAACUUUUGGAAAGAUAGGGGGCCAAAAGUGCAAUUAAGCCAAAUUAUAUUUCACAUAGGAAAGAGUUUAAAUAUAAACCAACCGCGUAAAUAUGUUUUACACUGUCGUUCAAAAAGAAACCAUCGUAUUGUCAUGUAUGUAUAUUUAUAACCAAUUUUUCAAAAAUAAGUUAAAUAUAUUUUCCGUCCAGACAAAAAAGAAUUGCACGGAAAUUUGGACCCUACUCUUAAUUCAACAUAUAUUUUGAUUGACUUUUUUUGCUAACAUGUUUAAAAUAUUAUAAAAAGUUCCUAUAAAAAUAUGAGCUUAAAAAUUGAUUUCUAGGUCGAGAUUUGUAUUACUUUUAUUAUGAAUUUUUGACGUUUCAUAAUCAUAUUUAAUUCAUUUGAUGUUAAAAAAAUUUAGAUGAAUAUUUUAUAAUACACAUCCAAAAAAAAAAUUCAAAAAUUUAGUUUUUGAAAAAAUAAAACUGCAAGUAGGAGUACUCAUGAACAUAGCUCGAUUGGUAAGAAUAUUGCAUAAUAUAUACAAGAGUCGGAGUUCAAAGCUCUAACACCUUACUUAUUCACCUUAUAAGAGAAUUUCUAGCCACCAAACUAUUUAAAAAAAAAAAAAAAACUGCUAGAAAAUUUGUUUAGAAAUGAAAAUGUGCCGCAUGUAAAAAUCUUAAAACAAAAACAUAUGGGUCAAUGCUAAUCUAAACAUGUUUAGAAUAUAUGAUAGGGUCUCGCUAACUAGAGCAUUUGUUAAAGAUACAAAAAUAGAAAUAAUAAGUAAAAAAAUUUUUUUUUUAAGUUUUAAUAUAUUGAAUCCACUAUUUUCAAGAUAAAUUUUUUUCUUUAAACUUCUUAACAAAUGCGCACUUGUUAGCAUUUGACAAUUUAUGAAGAAGAAAAAUGAAAACUUGACAAAUUCGAUGGAAAAAUUUUAUAUUUAACUCUUAAACCCCAAUCUAAAAUCCUCUAAAAAAAUCCCAAUAUAAAAUGGUUUAUAGUUUUUUUUUUACCAUGUAUACUUUUUUUUGAAGAAUUUCACUUAACUCUGAAAAAAUAAUUAUUAACAAAAUUAUAAUUGCAAAAACACUCAUACCUUCUAAGUCAACAAUAUCCAAGAGUGUUCUCUCCACUCUCGCUUCUGUUGGUUGAAUCAUCAUUAGAACUUCUCCAUGUAUCGUACCUCAAGCCAUUCCCAAUGUUCAGGUACGGGUUGCAACCAAGUGGAACACCAUGUUCUCUGGACACGACGCGUGUGCUGCAAGACAGAGAAUACGCCGGCGACUGAUACUUCCCUCGCCGCACAUUUCCUUCACAAAGAACGAAGCACCGCUGGUAAUCACAGUUUCACAAGUUAGUGUUUGCACAAGGGUAAUAUGGUAAACUUCAAAUAAAUAAUAUAUAUUUAAUUUUAGAGCUUGUAUAAAACAGCUUAUGCACAUUGCUAACUGUAGUCUGCAACGACAGACCAUGACCCAUAUUGAGGUACAUUGCUAACUGCCAAGCUUAACAUGCAUGCAUAAAAAGCCUCCUUUAUUAUUAGAUUAGAUACUUACGGGUCAAAUGCAUGCAUCAAAAGCGUCCUUGUUUAUGCUUCUUAGCAUGUAGUACUAUUUUGGAAAUCAAAAUUACCAACAUGAAAACUCAUGUUUGACCAGAAACAAUAGUAAUUAUUUACCUUCUUAUGAACACAUGUUUAUUGUCUUACCACCGUGUUGAGUUGUAUUCAAUUGAAAUGAGAAUCAUCGACCUAAUAAUUUUUCAUAAUGAGGCCUAAUACAAAUUUUAAUAUAUCAUAUAUUUUUUUGUCUACAGCCCUUUUAUUUAUAAACUAUAAUAAAAAUUAUUAAUCUUUUGUUGAUAGACCUAAAACGAGGAUUUUAGUUUCCUAUCUACUUACCUGUGGUUACUUUUCUUCAUUGAUUUUAUUUUCCCACUUUCUCAUGUGUCAGUGUCACUGACCCAUUGUGUGGAAAAUAUAACAAAGCAUCAUCAUGUCCUGUUGAGCAGGGGUACAAUUUUGUUUCAGUUAGAAUAGUUCAAUUAUCUCUUCAUGAAAUGCAAGAGGGGUAUGAUAGAAAAACUCAAUGGACUCUGCUAAAAAUCUUCUCUACCUUAGCACAGUCGAAAAUCAUAAAAACAAAUUGUUAGUGUUAGAUUACUCUUUGAUUCUACUAUGUCUCACCUUAUCUUUUUGCCCUUGUUCUUCUGAUACCAUAACUAUUCACAAACCCAUAAGAGAUGGUGAACUUCUCAUUUCUAAAUCUAAAACAUUUGCUCUUGGAUUCUUCACUCCAGGAAAGUCCACCUCUCGCUAUGUUGGAAUCUGGUACAACAAUUUGCCGAUCCAAACUGUUGUUUGGGUUGCAAAUAGAGAUGCUCCCAUCAAUGACACUUCUGGAAUUCUAUCAAUCAACCAAAAUGGGAAUCUAGAACUCCACCACAACCUUAGCACCAUUCCCAUUUGGUCUACCAAUGUUUCAUUAACACAGUCACAAAGAAAUAACACCAAUGUUAUAGCUCAACUAUUGGAUAUAGGAAACCUUGUUCUGAGGUUAAACGACACCGAAACUGCCAUCUGGGAAAGCUUUGAUCAUCCCACAGACACAAUGCUUCCGUAUCAAAAGAUUGGUUUUGAUAGAAAAAUUAAUCAAAGUUGGGUCCUUCAAUCCUGGAAGACAGAUGAUGACCCUGGAAAAGGUGCGUUCACGGUGAAAUUCAGCACCAUUGGCAAACCACAAUUGUUUAUGUACAACCAUGAUCGUCCUUGGUGGCGUGGUGGACAUUGGAAUGGAGCAAUAUUAGUAGGCCUACCUCAUAUGAUAGGAGAUAUGGCAGUUCGUAAUGUUUCUUGGGUUGAAGAUGACAACUAUGUAUCACUCUCAUAUAACAUGUUUAAUAAGUCUGUCAUUACAAGGAUAGUGGUUCAGCAAUCUGGUUUCUUUCAAACAUUCAUGUGGGACA
rnacentral:lncRNA from 1 species